GACGAACGCUGGCGGCGUGCUUAACACAUGCAAGUCGAGCGGUAAGGCCCUUUCGGGGGUACGACGAGCGGCGAACGGGUGAGUAACACGUGGGUGACCUGCCCUCAGCUCUGGGAGUAAGCCUGGGAAACCGGGUCUAAUACCGGAUAUGACUCCAUGACGCAUGUUGGUAGGGGUGGAAAGCCUUGUGCGGCUGAGGAUGGGCCCGCGGCCUAUCAGCUUGUUGGUGGGGUNAGGCCUACCAAGGCGACGACGGGUAGCCGGCCUGAGAGGGCGACCGGCCACACUGGGACUGAGACACGGCCCAGACUCCUACGGGAGGCAGCAGUGGGGAAUCUUGCGCAAUGGGCGAAAGCCUGACGCAGCGACGCCGCGUGAGGGAUGACGGCC
rnacentral:rRNA from 1 species